AGUGAGUCAGAUCAUUUCCAUGUAGAGCCACUUUGCAUCAGCAGCUCCAUGCUCCAGUGCUCUGGGAGAGUUUAUAGUCCUGACACUUGAACACUGGAUGACUGACAGCUGUCCUUCAUCACAACACAACACACACAAAUCCUCCUCCUUAUCACAAACAUGACCCUGAUCUGCGUCUUCAUCUGGACUCUCCUCUGCUGCUGCUUCACAGAGUCCAGAGGACAGGUCACAGUGACUCAGCCUGCAGCAGUGAGCUCUGCUCUGGGAGCCUCCGUCACCAUCCCAUGCAGAGUCAGUCAGAAUGUUCAUGGCAAUAACCAUUUAGCCUGGUACCAACAGAAAGAUGGAGGGACUCCUAAACUUCUCUUUUACCAUGCAAACACUCGAGCAACAGGAACUCCAGGUCGUUUUUCAGGCAGUGGAUCACACUCUGACUUCACUCUGACCAUCAGUGGAGUCCAGACUGAAGAUGCAGCAGUUUACUACUGUCAGAGUGUACAUGUUAUCAACAGUCAGUAG